rnacentral:rRNA from 1 species
GAUGAACGCUGGCGGCGUGCCUAAUACAUGCAAGUCGAGCGAACGGACGAUGAGCUUGCGUCGCGGAUGUUAGCGGCGGACGGGUGAGUAACGCGUGUAUAACCUACCUAUAAGACUGGGAUAACUUCGGGAAACCGGAUCUAAUACCGUAUAAGAUUUUGAACCGCGUGGGUCAAAAGUAAAAGACGGUCGUGCGGGCACUUAUAGAGGGAUCCGCGCUGCAUUAGAUAGUUGGUAAGGUAACGGCUUACCAAGGCAACGAUGCAUAGCCGAACUCAGAGACUGAUAGGCCACACGGGAACGGAGACACCGUCCAGACUCCUAAGGGAGGGCGCAGUAGCGAAUGUUACGCAACGGUGGAAAGCAUGACGGAGCAACGCCGCGUGAGUGACGAAGGUCCUCGGAUCGUAAAACUCUGUUAUUAGGGAUGAACAUCUGUGUACGUAACUGUGCACAUCUUGACGGUACCUAAUAAGAAAGCCACGGCUAACUACGUG